rnacentral:tRNA from 1 species
GGUUGUAGCUCAGUGGUAGAGUGCUUGCCUAGCAUGUGUGAGGCACUGGGUUCAAUCCUUAGCACCG